ACAAACAGACCAUGGAAAGGUGCUAGCAUUCCCUGUGACUCCUCUGACCGUCAGCUUUUCGCCUCCUGCACAAAGAUUACCAUGAGAAACGGGAGCAAAACAUCCUUCUGGAUUGAUAAAUGGCUUGAUGGCAAUGCCACAAAAGAUUGUUUCCCAGCUCUCUUUGCCCUUUCUCGCUCAAAAUCGAGCUCGGUCAGGCAUGCUCUACAUGAAGAUAGAUGGAUGAGAGGCCUUAACAGGAUGGAUGGAGCUGCUGAAUUGGAGGAAUUCCUAUGCUUAUGGACGAAGGUGCAGGACAUCCUCGAUAACACGAAUGAGGACUUGAUUGAAUGGACUCUCACCACAAACAAUGUUUACUCAGCCAAAUCGGCUUAUGACAUCCAAUUGAAGACAAGAAUCCCAAUCCCGGCCCUGGCUAAUGUUUGGAAGAUCAAGGCUGAAGGCAAAGUAAAAAAUUUCAUGUGGAAGCUCUUGCAGAAUCGGCUAUGGACUGUUGACCGGCUCCUUCGUAGAAACUGGGGUCAUCAUGAUAGCUGCUGCAACUGUGACCAGGUUAUUGAAUCAGCUAUACACCUCAUUCUCAGAUGUCCCUACGCAAAAUAUGUCUGGCACUCCUUCAGCUCCACCAACCAGCUUGUUGCUGGAUAUGCUCAUGAGGCCAGCUCCAUUGUGGGAUGGUGGGAGAAUGUGUUUUCCCAUCAUCGAAAGAAGGAAGAAGCUUUCCAGAUUUGCACCUCUUCGGUUUACAUUGCGUGGAAUCUUUGGAACGAGAGAAAUCAUCGUCUCUCUCAACAUGAGAGCCUGCCUAUUCAACGGCUUUGUAACAUUAUUUCUGAUGAAAUCUGCCUCCUUAAGGAGGCAUGGGAGUAG
rnacentral:rRNA from 1 species